CCCUUAGAUGCUCUGGGCCGCACGCGCGCUACACUGACCGGUGCAACAAGCAUCCGUCCUUGGCCGACAGGCCCGGGCAAUCUUUGAACGCCGGUCGUGAUGGGGAUAGACUUUUGCAAUUUUUGGUCUUCAACGAGGAAUUCCUAGUAAACGCAAGUCAUCAACUUGCAUUGAUUACGUCCCUGCCCUUUGUACACACCGCCCGUCGCACCUACCGAUUGAAUGGUCCGGUGAAGCCUCCGGAUUGGCGCGCACCUCGGUGCCGCCGAGAAGUUGGCUAAACCUUACCAUUUAGAGGAAGGUGAAGUCGUAACA
rnacentral:rRNA from 1 species